CAGCAGUCGCCACGGGAAUACAGAGGGUGCGAGCGUUAAUCGGAUUUACUGGGCGUAAAGCGUGCGUAGGCGGCUUCUUAAGUCGGAUGUGAAAUCCCUGAGCUUAACUUAGGAAUUGCAUUCGAUACUGGGAAGCUAGAGUAUGGGAGAGGAUGGUAGAAUUCCAGGUGUAGCGGUGAAAUGCGUAGAGAUCUGGAGGAAUACCGAUGGCGAAGGCAGCCAUCUGGCCUAAUACUGACGCUGAGGUACGAAAGCAUGGGGAGCAAACAGGAUUAGAUACCCCGGUAGUCCCUGUCUCUUAUAC
rnacentral:rRNA from 1 species